rnacentral:rRNA from 1 species
UGGGGAAUAUUGGGCAAUGGGCGCAAGCCUGAACCAGCCAUCCCGCGUGAAGGAAGAAGGCGCUAUGCGUUGUAAACUUCUUUUCCAGGGGAAUAAAACUCUGUACGUGUACGGAAUUGAAGGUACCCUGGGAAUAAGCAUCGGCUAACUCCGUGCCAGCAGCCGCGGUAAUACGGAGGAUGCAAGCGUUAUCCGGAUUUAUUGGGUUUAAAGGGUGCGCAGGCGGAGUAGUAAGUCAGUGGUGAAAACCUGCAGCUUAACUGUAGAAUUGCCGUUGAUACUGCUGCUCUUGAGUGUGGUCAAGGUAGGCGGAAUGUGUAAUGUAGCGGUGAAAUGCUUAGAUAUUACACAGAACACCGAUUGCGAAGGCAGCUUACUGGGCCAUUACUGACGCUCAUGCACGAAAGCGUGGGGAUCGAACAG